rnacentral:rRNA from 1 species
AAAUUGAAGAGUUUGAUCAUGGCUCAGAUUGAACGCUGGCGGCAGGCCUAACACAUGCAAGUCGAACGGUAGCACAGAGAGCUUGCUCUCGGGUGACGAGUGGCGGACGGGUGAGUAAUGUCUGGGAAACUGCCUGAUGGAGGGGGAUAACUACUGGAAACGGUAGCUAAUACCGCAUAACGUCGCAAGACCAUAGAGGGGGACCUUCGGGCCUCUUGCCAUCAGAUGUGCCCAGAUGGGAUUAGCUAGUAGGUGGGGUAACGGCUCACCUAGGCGACGAUCCCUAGCUGGUCUGAGAGGAUGACCAGCCACACUGGAACUGAGACACGGUCCAGACUCCUACGGGAGGCAGCAGUGGGGAAUAUUGCACAAUGGGCGAAAGCCUGAUGCAGCCAUGCCGCGUGUAUGAAGAAGGCCUUCGGGUUGUAAAGUACUUUCAGCGGGGAGGAAGGUGUUGUGGUUAAUAACCACAGCAAUUGACGUUACCCGCAGAAGAAGCACCGGCUAACUCCGUGCCAGCAGCCGCGGUAAUACGGAGGGUGCAAGCGUUAAUCGGAAUUACUGGGCGUAAAGCGCACGCAGGCGGUCUGUCAAGUCGGAUGUGAAAUCCCCGGGCUCAACCUGGGAACUGCAUUCGAAACUGGCAGGCUAGAGUCUUGUAGAGGGGGGUAGAAUUCCAGGUGUAGCGGUGAAAUGCGUAGAGAUCUGGAGGAAUACCGGUGGCGAAGGCGGCCCCCUGGACAAAGACUGACGCUCAGGUGCGAAAGCGUGGGGAGCAAACAGGAUUAGAUACCCUGGUAGUCCACGCCGUAAACGAUGUCGACUUGGAGGUUGUGCCCUUGAGGCGUGGCUUCCGGAGCUAACGCGUUAAGUCGACCGCCUGGGGAGUACGGCCGCAAGGUUAAAACUCAAAUGAAUUGACGGGGGCCCGCACAAGCGGUGGAGCAUGUGGUUUAAUUCGAUGCAACGCGAAGAACCUUACCUACUCUUGACAUCCAGAGAACUUAGCAGAGAUGCUUUGGUGCCUUCGGGAACUCUGAGACAGGUGCUGCAUGGCUGUCGUCAGCUCGCUCGUGUUGUGAAAUGUUGGGUUAAGUCCCGCAACGAGCGCAACCCUUAUCCUUUGUUGCCAGCGGUCCGGCCGGGAACUCAAAGGAGACUGCCAGUGAUAAACUGGAGGAAGGUGGGGAUGACGUCAAGUCAUCAUGGCCCUUACGAGUAGGGCUACACACGUGCUACAAUGGCGCAUACAAAGAGAAGCGACCUCGCGAGAGCAAGCGGACCUCAUAAAGUGCGUCGUAGUCCGGAUUGGAGUCUGCAACUCGACUCCAUGAAGUCGGAAUCGCUAGUAAUCGUAGAUCAGAAUGCUACGGUGAAUACGUUCCCGGGCCUUGUACACACCGCCCGUCACACCAUGGGAGUGGGUUGCAAAAGAAGUAGGUAGCUUAACCUUCGGGAGGGCGCUUACCACUUUGUGAUUCAUGACUGGGGUGAAGUCGUAACAAGGUAACCGUAGGGGAACCUGCGGUUGGAUCACCUCCUUACCUUAAAGAA